rnacentral:rRNA from 1 species
AAACCAACAGGGAUUACCUUAGUAACGGCGAGUGAAGCGGUAAGAGCUCAAAUUUGAAAUCUGGCACUUUCAGUGUCCGAGUUGUAAUUUGAAGAAGGUAACUUUGGGAUUGGCUCUUGUCUAUGUUCCUUGGAACAGGACGUCACAGAGGGUGAGAAUCCCGUGCGAUGAGAUGCCCAAUCCUUUGUAAAGUGCUUUCGAAGAGUCGAGUUGUUUGGGAAUGCAGCUCUAAGUGGGUGGUAAAUUCCAUCUAAAGCUAAAUAUUGGCGAGAGACCGAUAGCGAACAAGUACAGUGAUGGAAAGAUGAAAAGAACUUUGAAAAGAGAGUGAAAAAGUACGUGAAAUUGUUGAAAGGGAAGGGCUUGAGAUCAGACUUGGUGUUUUGUGAUUAUCUUUCCUUCUUGGAUUGUGCACUCGCAUUAUACUGGGCCAGCAUCGGUUUGGGUGGUAGGAUAAUGACAUUGGAAUGUGGCUCUACUUCGGUGGAGUGUUAUAGACUUUGUUGAUACUGCCUACCUAGACCGAGGACUGCGUCUUUUGACUAGGAUGCUGGCGUAAUGAUCUUAAGCCGC